GCGAUCAGCUGGGACACCUGUUAUUUCUCAGAGCGAGCAGAUGGACCUCCCAGGCCCAGCCCUGGACCCUCUUACAUUUAUGCUCCCAGCCAAGGACCGUAGGGCUGAGGAGGCUGGCAGAAGAAGGCAGCCCAAACCCUGGCAAGCUACCCGACAACCAGCUUUCUACACGGCUCCUCUACCACAAAAUCGGAACUCAGAGGUCUCAGGUCACAUCUUGGUACCAGAGAUGGUCCCUUGCUCUAAAUCUAGCCAGUUCUGGUGUCCUUCACAGCUGCUUCUCCUCCUGUGCUCCCACCGGGAAGAGUCCUUCAUGAUGUCCUCAGCCUUUCUCCACAGACCCCCCUCCAGGAUUGAACCAGGACUGAUCCAAAGUUGAUCAAAGCUAUUCCGGGGACUUCCAAUCUCUGGUUCUGAAUCCAGGACCCAAGCCCAAAUCAAACAGAGCAGACUUACCCUCAGACAUGAGACCAAGUCCUCACCAGUGCCCCGCAUUUGCUGCCGGGAAGACUAUUAGUGGCUGACAAGAUCCUCAGGAUCUGAAAUGAGAGAAGUUGAGAUGGACUUGCCCCAACCCCAUCAGACUUGCCAAGAAGAGUAGAAGGUUAAAAGAGCGUCCGAUUCUUACCUGCUUUCUUCCUGCCCCCCUUUUUGAAAGUGUAUCUGAAACCUUCUGUGGUUCUGCCUUGUCAAAAAUGCCCCCUAUGGAGUGUAAUAGAAUCAGCAGAAGAAAUGCUACUCCGCCAGAGCCGAGGGAAAGGAAAGAAGCGCUGCUGAGCGGAGCGGCUGGACUUGGCAAGCACCACAACAGUCCGCUCGGUUGCAUUUGUUCCAUUAGAGUUCAUUGCUCUUUUUCCAACUUCCGACCUUCUUUCCUGUCCUAUAGGAAGCAACAACUCUUACCCAGAGAUGAAGAAGGAACUUCCCAGAAAGCCACCUAAGGCCUAGACCUGAUUGAUUGAAAACAAAUUAAUAGGAACACUAGAGAGGACCGAGCUGGGGGUCUGCCCACCCCUACACUCCCUCUAACAGCCUGUGUUGAAGGUUCUACUACUCACUAACCUGCCGAUCAGCAAUUCCAAGUUUGUAAGGCCCUGAAGGCCCUGGGUGGACUCAUCCAGCGGCUUAGCUGUGUUUUGGUUUGGGGAACUUGCCAGAUCUUGAUGCUGCACUUGUUUCCAAGGAGAGCAGCUCCUUUGCUGGUAGUCCCAGCCCCUCCAGCCUACUGCUGCCCACAGAGAUCUCCAGGCCCUACCUUACCCCCUGGGCCAGCUGGCUAACGGACUCUUCCUUCUCCAGGUGCCAGGCCUUAUGUACCGCCUUCUGGUGUGGAAAAGAGGUUAUUUUUUUCCUGUCAGGGGAAGGCAGAUGACCAGACAGGGCAUCAGACACUGUGACUCCUCCAGACUCUUCCGGAAUGCACCCCCUGAUGCUCUGGGCCUGGCCUCAGCUCACCAGUGCCUUCUCAGGAGAGCUGGAUCCGAGCGGGUUUUGAGUGCUCUUACUCACUCCUUGAGCUUCACCUUCUCAUAUUUGACAUUCCAGGAAGUCGUCCUGGAGCCAAAAUAGAGGACCUGCUGUGGUUCCACAUCCUUCCUGGCCCUUGUCAGAUGGCUUCUGUAGCUUCUCCAUGCCAACUGUAGAGCCUGCGGUGGCGGUCCUCAAGCACAGCUGGUCAGAAACCAGUGUCUACGUCACUCUUCUGUGUUGGGCAACGCCAUCAGGUGAACAAGACACCGGCAAUAUUGGGGAUGCAGCUUUUCUUUCACACUAGCUACAAGACAAGAAAGGACCACGCUUAUAAGGGGAACACUGGAGACAAAGAGGGCAGGAAAGCAUAGCGGAGCCCUUCCCUUCUCAGGCUCAGCAACGUUCCCACUGUUUUCAAUGGGCAAAUGUGAGAAUCAAGAGGAAUCACAGGGUGGGGAAGCAAAGUAUCCCGGUGCCCAAAAUGAGGUGGGAAAGGCAGGGACAAAGCACCAAGUGGCAGAAGUAUGCUUAGGUUUGUUUCAGAAAUUCUCAGAAAUUCUGCCCUAAACCCGAUCCCAGUCUUACUGAAUGAUUUUCUUUAAUGGAUCUCAAAGCCGGAAGUGGGGGAGGGGCAAUCAUAAAUUUUUAUCUGCUCUGCUGUUCAUUUGAUCUGAACACGAAUCUCUGAUUGAUGGGCUGAGGCCAAGGCCAGGCCUGUUUGGCCAAUCUAAAUUUGAAUGCUAGCCCCUUUCUCUUGGACUUAGCAAGAAAUCCAGUCUUAGCUUGUUCUAGCAUUCCCUGCUUGCCUGCCUUCUCCUAGCACCAUAGCUUCAUGACGUCCAAACUGAAGCUGCAAAGCUGUGACAGCUGGGACACUGUUAACCUCUUCUCAGAGACAGGGGGACUGAGCUAUAGACUGUAUUACAGCCCAUGGCAAACCAGCCUAGCACCGAGUACAGUAGGUAUCAUGGCUACUACCCAAGUAAGCCUAUCUCUGCUCCUCAGACCAGAGCAUGAUGGCUGCCUGGAUCUGUUGCAGGAGAAAGUCAAAUGCCCCUUCAGACAAUGGCCCACACCCGAAACAGUCAUAUGGCUUCAAGACUAGAGCACGUAGUUCCUAGGGGAGACCCUCCAGAGCUCUCUUUCCAGUGCACACAAGAGCUCUGUAGAAUGAGUGCACUGAAGAGAAGGUUCAUCUGUUUAGUGCGGGUACUCCCAAGAGAUUUAAAGCAAGCAGGAGUUUCUAGGUUCAAUCCUCAGCAUCCCUUGAACUGCACAUGAGGGGGCGCACUUAGAAUCCUGGCACUCAGAAGGUAGGGGCAGGAGGAUCAGAAGUUUAAGGUCAUCCUCUGCUACAUAGGAAGCUUGGGGCCAACCCUGGAACCCAGGAGAGGGU
rnacentral:lncRNA from 1 species